rnacentral:rRNA from 1 species
CCUACGGGUGGCUGCAGUGAGGAAUAUUGGUCAAUGGCCGCGAGCCUGAACCAGCCAAGUCGCGUGAGGGAAGACGGUCCUAUGGAUUGUAAACCUCUUUUGUCAGGGAGCAAAAGCCGCCACGCGUGCCUUUCCGAGAGUACCCGAAGAAAAAGCAUCGGCUAACUCCGUGCCAGCAGCCGCGGUAAUACGGAGGAUGCGAGCGUUAUCCGGAUUUAUUGGGUGUAAAGGGUGCGCAGGCGGAAGAGCAAGUCAGCGGUAAAAUCGCGGGGCUCACCCGCUUCGAGCCGUUGAACCUGGUUGUCGUGAGUGGGCGAGAGGUAUGCGGAAGGCGUGGUGUAGCGGUGAAAUG